UCCUUGUCUCCACCGCCUCUUCGAGGUUCCCUUACAUCCUCUGGAAGCAUCGUCAAAAUCCUAAACCCAGUCCAUCACUACCAAUCCUGCAAUAAGAUCCUCCACUCCUCGAUUUUCCGUUAUGGCUUUUUUUUUUCUUCUAGAUUUUCAGAAUCCCUUCGUUGACUUCCAAUCCUCUUGCUAAGGAUGCAUUCCUCCUCCGUGAUUUUCCGUUUAUAUAUGCUCGUAGAUGAUUAGGAAAAAUUACGAGAGAGUUGAUGAAAAGAGGCGGAACGAUGACUGACGUAAGUAGUCAUGGAGAGAGAGAGAGAGAGAGAGAGAGAGAGAGAGACAUCGAAGAUUUCUCUUACAUAUGAGAUACAAGGGAAGGAAGAUCAGACGGUGAUCUGGUUUUUGGUUAAAUAUUAUUCAUGGAUUUUCCUAAUCAGGUAUGUUGUUCUCUGAAAAUUUUCCCUUUCUUGCAAUCAUUUCACCCCUACGUAAUUGCUAUCCAGGUAUGCAAGUGAAGAUGUAAUUAAAUUUGUGUCCACAUAUCUUUAUACUGGUGUCAACUUCUUCGUCGCUUCUAACUAAGGUAUUGGUUCUACUUUUGGUUUUGUUUUUCUACAUAAUAGAAGAACUUUGCCUCUUUUUUUGAUUUGCUCCAUUGUUUUGAUUUUGGGGUUCAUAGCAGGAAUAUGGAUAAUAAAUAUAAGGGUGUAGGUUUUUAUUGAUACGUUGAUUUUAUUUUUUUUGGCGUUUAAGGAUUGAGAGAGAAGUGCUCCACUUGGAAAUUUGAAGAUUACUUCCAGGCAUAACCAAACACGACCCAAAAUUAAAAUGACUUUUCAUUAAAAGAAUUCUCAUAAACAUUAAUUUGUUACCUAAAUAUACCGAGAAGAAUUGUGAAUUAAUCCAAGUUUUCUAUGUUUGAAAAAUGUUUUCCACUUAUGUUGUAUAAUACUGUCAGACAAAUUCAGAGUUGGAGAUGCUAAAAGUAGUUGAUAGUUAUUACAUUUCCCAAACUAUUUUCUUGCCAUUAUAAACAUUUACACGUAGAAUCUUUUUUUGAAUAUAUAUAUAUAUAUAUAUAUAUAUAUAUAUAUAUCUGUCNUUAAACGAUUGAAGCUUCACGGACUAGGUUGAACAUGAAUACAAAUAACUGAGAGGCUCAUUCUUAGUUUAUAACAAUUACACACCAUUGGUAAACACUUCACAAAUUUUCCUAUUUUCUCCUUAACCAUAUUCUUAAAAUAAUCCCUCAGUUAAAUUUAUAUUCACCGAAGCUAAACAGAUAAUUCGGAUAUGCUACGGGACAAACUUCAAAGAUUACCAGUCUCCCUUACGGACUUAGUAAAAGAUCUUUCUAAAUCAUAACGAAUAAGAAAAGAAUUUGUAUACAUAAUUUUUUUAUUUUUAGCUUUUUAGAUGCCUUUUAGUUUUAAACUUUGGUCAAUUUAUUUUUAUCUAAACUAGAGGAUAAUGGAACAGUUUUAGUUCAAUUCUUAUCGACACUUCUUAGCAUGGUGAACACACCCUAGUUAGUAUACGAUUAACUAAGUUGCUACUGUUUUAAAAACCAUGUUGACCAAAAUUUUGUCUAAAUUAAAGUUUACUGAACAAUAACAGAAAAGGAAACAGCUUAGGCUAGAGUGAUUCUAUUCAUGGCAUAUUAGCUAUUAUUUUUUAUUUUUUUAUUUUGAAAAGAUAUAUAAUGGUAUAGGCCAACAAGGAUCAACAUUGUGGAUAGUUUAAGAAUUGGUAUUCUUAAAGGACAUGCUUUAUUAUUUGGAAUGUUUUCUUUAUGAGGACCAAAUGCACAAUGUAUUAUCCUUUGAAAACCGAAAACAGUUAUGAUAAAUGAUAUCUUUAAUUUAACACAUUUCCAUUUCUACAUAUCUAUCAUUCAUUGUCGAAUAUAUAUAUCUUAGUUAGUCACACAAUGUUUCACACAUUCAUUACGGUCUACCCAGCAAGGCUGAGAUUUCAAUAUAGUACAACAGUAACAUUUUUCCCAUCCCGUGGGAAAAUUACAAUGAAAUUUAAAGCAAAAAUCAACGCCGAUCUUUUCGCUUGUAAUAUUUGAUUUCGAUUCCACCUUUCUUUCAAGAAUGAUUGAUGUGCCUGAAUCAUAACAAUAAAAUAAGAAAGUGAGUAUAAUGAAAUCAAUGUGUUUUUGUGUGCAUGUGAGAAAGAGAAAGAUAAACUGAGAAAGGAGCGUACAAUGACAAAGGGAGGCAAAAGAAGCCAUGAGAAUGAGGAAGAGAACUAGAAACCUACAACUAACGAAGGCCAUUUGAAAGGUAAUGAAAGGUUCCAGUGGAAUGAUUAAAUUGAGAAAUAAGAGGGUAUUUAUAAGUAGAUGCUAUGAAAUAUGAUAACAAAAUUUUCAAUAGGCUUUUAUUUAAAAUUUACUACUUGAAAAUUUUGGUUUGAUGCAUUAAAUUUGCAAUAGCAGUUAUUUAUUUUUGUAUAUACACGAAAGGAAAAAAGUAUAUAUCAAAGUUUAUAUAAAAAUAAGUUAGUGUAAUAUAAUAUGAAAACAUAAAUAUAACAGACAUAUAAUACUUGACUUAUUGUGAGCUCUUAAUGAAUAUUUUCUAAAAUUAAUUUUUUUUAAUAGAGAUUUUUUUAUAGAAUAAUAAUAUAUCUAAGUUAUCAUCGUAUAAAGAGCGAGAUGACAAACGAGCAACAAGCUACACUACUAAGCAUUUUUGUAUGGUAAAAAACCAAAUUCUUUUGUAAACCACAUCCAUAGAUCUAGGGGAUAUAAAAUUGUUACGCAUGAUCUGUUGUACUCUAUUAAGAAGCUCCACCACAUCUGAUGCGAGAAAACCAAAUGUAUCAAAUGCAAAUUGUAUGAACAAGUGUUUAUUUUCCAUGUACAAGAUCUCAUAUUUGAUGACUUUGCUUGUAGCAGCAUUUAAUGCAGCUUGUCCGUCGUGAAACCCCCAACCCUCUAGCCCACGUGUGGGGAUAUCCCUAUAUGGUCCACACAAGCGUGUUUCUAUCCAACCCAUCCAAAAAUGAAAACGCCAGUGGUCUAAGGGUUGACCUUCCCCAUACAAACACGGGCAAAAACACUCGUACUCAUGUGAAACACAACGCGACAGCCAAUAUCUUUCUUCUUCUGAUUGCUUGCUUCCAUAGUGACCAUCGAUGGCCUUUGUCUUCGAUGCUCGUUGAAGCAGCGAUGGUGGUUGGGCACUGGUAGUUCACAGCACCGAUAUAAACAUGGCGGUGAUUGAGCGAUUCACGGAAGUUAUCCACCACGAAAGGGAUGGUGGCGUGACAACCCUAGACUUCUUGCAUCCGACUGGAUCGAUCUCUUUCAGACGUAGGAGGGGGUGGCUCCGGCGAUUGCCAACUCUAAUGACGGAUAAGAGGUGGCAGGUGAAGGAUGGGGUAUAAGCAGCGGCUGUAGCACCCUCCUAACGUUAGGGUUUAUAUUGCGGCGGUUGUAGCGCCUUCUCAUCCGAAAUUGAAAGUUUUUUUGAUGCACACCAAGCGCUCGCUAAAAUGCAUCAAUUGAUGCACACCAAGGACUCUCUAAAAUUUGAACGACACCUCUUAGAAAUAUUAUUCUUUUAGAAUGUAUUAGUGUCUUUGUUAGAUUUUGAUGUUUUUUUUUUCCAUAUUUCAAAGUUUUUUUAGUUUUAUUCUUUAACAAUAAAUGAAAUUCUUAACAAUUGUUACAUGUAUUCUAUAAGAAUUAAUGUAAUUUUUGUUUUAAUUCAUCAAUUGAUGGUUCGAGAAUUUUGUUAUUCUACAAGAAAUUUUUAAAGUCAUGAUCAAGUAAUAUGUUCAACAAAAUUUUUAUUAUUUUAUGGUUCAAGAAUAUUUUUAUUUUUGAACAUACUCAAACAUAUUCUGUUAGAAUGUCCACAUUAAAAAUCUUAUAAUUCGUAAAAUCAGAUUUUUUAAAUUAAUAGAAUCUUUGAUCCCUUAAAAUAUGCAAAUUUCGUUUAUUAAAUCGAUGUUAAUUGACUAAAAUACCCUUCUANNNNNNNNNNNNNNNNNNNNNNNNNNNNNNNNNNNNNNNNNNNNNNNNNNNNNNNNNNNNNNNNNNNNNNNNNNNNNNNNNNNNNNNNNNNNNNNNNNNNNNNNNNNNNNNNNNNNNNNNNNNNNNNNNNNNNNNNNNNNNNNNNNNNNNNNNNNNNNNNNNNNNNNNNNNNNNNNNNNNNNNNNNNNNNNNNNNNNNNNNNNNNNNNNNNNNNNNNNNNNNNNNNNNNNNNNNNNUAUAUAUAUAUAUAUAUAAAAAUUUAUAGUACUUUACGCGUAGUUCCAGGGUUUAAACGAAGAAAAGAAAAUAAGACAAAAGAAAGUUAGGAGGGAAAGUGGUCAUUUCAUUUCCCUCCACUUCUUUCUAUUUCCCUACUUUAAUGAAACACCAAUUUCUUUUACUUUCUUCUCAUUUCCACUCAUUUACUUUCUUUUCUCUUGUUAAGUUCAACUCGAGAACAGGGUGUUAGGAAUAGUUCUUUGUUUCUAUUGGUUUAAUUUUUUUUUUCUUUUUUAGUUUUUUACUUGGGAUUUUCCUUGGUCUGUGGGACAUCCACGCCAUGGUUUACAGGCAAACGUGUCAUCUUCCCUUAAUUCAUUGCUGCCACCGCCGAUAAUUUUCUUCUAAACACAUUUAUGAACUGUUUUGGUUUCUUGGUCACCUAUCCUCUCACGGGUAGGUUCGUUCUUCUUCAUUUUGUACUGCCUUCCCUGUCUCCACCGCCUCUUCGAGGUACCCUUACAUCCUCUGGAAGCAUCGUCAAAAUCCUAAACCCAAUCCAUCACUACCAAUCCUGCAAUAAGAUCCUCCACACCUCGAUUUUCCGUUAUGGCUUUUUUUUUCUUCGAGAUUUUCAGAAUCCCUUCGUUGACUUCCAAUCCUCUUGCUAAGGAUGCAUUCCUCUUCCGUGAUUUUCCGUUUAUAUAUGCUCGAAGAUGAUUAGGAAAAAUUGCGAGAGAGUUGAUGAAAAGAGGCGGAACGAUGACUGAGGGAAGUAGUCAUGGA
rnacentral:lncRNA from 1 species